rnacentral:rRNA from 1 species
UACGUAGGUGGCAAGCGUUUGUCCGGAAUUAUUGGGCGUAAAGCGCGCGCAGGCGGUCCUUUAAGUCUGAUGUGAAAGCCCACGGCUCAACCGUGGAGGGUCAUUGGAAACUGGGGGGACUUGAGUACAGAAGAGAAGAGUGGAAUUCCACGUGUAGCGGUGAAAUGCGCAGAGAUGUGGAGGAACACCAGUGGCGAAGGCGACUCUUUGGUCUGUAACUGACGCUGAGGCGCGAAAGCGUGGGGAGCAAACAGG